GCUGAUCCCUGACACCAUGGUCACCCUACAUGUCAAACUGCAUACUGAUUUUACUAGUUUUAACUGAGAGAUAAAACGGGAUAAGAGCAUAAGUGGUGACAAACCUACUCCUCCAUGUUCUUCCUGACACAAACGGACUAAAUUAGACGGAAGUGAAAUAAUGACAUAUGACAUACAGCCAUUACAGACCGUACAGCCAGGACCGACUGUGAAGGGUUUCCAUCCCCGAGCCAGUCCGGGAGCGAAAAGGCUUUGGAGGAAAUUGGUGGCGAAAACGGCUGUUGUCACCGAACCCCCGACAUGAGUUGUCCUUCUUCCUGCUUGGUCUCCCUGUCCUCAGUGUGACUCUGGGGCUGAUAAGCUCAGGCGGAGGUAUCAAGCGGAGCACCCAUGCAGGGAUCCAUUAGGCAAAAACCAAUUUCACACAGAGCCAAUUUCAUAAAUAUGGAGUAUGGGCCCACCUUUAGCUUUGCAUGACUGGCUUUUAGAGGGAUAUACAAAACCAUAAACAACGAUCCUGUGCCUGAGCAGUCUUUUUAAAUGAUAGCUGAAGUGUGUGGCACAGACCUACACACAUUAAGAUGUAAUUUUAAGAAUUUAAUGUUGAUCACAAUGAAUAAGUAUUUCUUUUAACAUACAGACAACCCUCAUGGAGGAUUCAAGAUAUGUUUGAGACAUUUUGUAAUGUAGAAUAAUGCUGUGUUCAUUUUAGUUAUGAACAUGUGUAACAGUACAGCAUUCAUUGAUUAUAAUUGCCCAUUAGUGCGUAUACAACAUAUUUGCUUUGGCUUGGUUUGAUUUGUUUAUAUUGAGCCCUUGUCAUGAGACCUUUGCCUUAAGUGACACAGCAGUCUUGCAAUUCUGGCUUUUCAGUUUGCAUCGUUCCACCUGGUCGGUGCUUCAAUCAUCCAAUAAGUCCCCGAUUUGAUUAUUUUGUAUUUUUAUUAUUAUUACACCGGUCUGAGAAUAUUUGUAUUGCAUACUCUGCUAUGACUAUUUCAAGUAACACUUGUACUUUUAUUUACAUUUGUCAUGAUAUAACAACAAUUUUCUGCAAUACUAUAUUAUGAUAGUUCACUUUUUCACAUAAUUAUGGCAUGACACAUGAAAUAGAAUACCAAAACCUUUAUGUACUACUGUACUUUGAUCAUUUCAUGGCUUUUUACUUACAUUUAGUAAGUUUUUGGACACCCUAUACUGUAACAUUUGACAUUUGUAUUCGUUUGACAGUCUAUACUGUGACUUUUUAAGACAUGAUCUCUUCAGAGCAGAAAUGUACAGAUCACAGCUUCUGGCGCUGCUGCAGAUUCCUUCACAGAGGCUUUGUAUUAAUUCUCUGAAGCCACCACUGUGAGCGUCCUAAAGGUCGGUAUAAAUUAGAAAAUAACUAGUAAGUAACUGUCACAUUAAACCAUCAUCCCUACUUUUAAAUGUGCCCUUUGAAUGUCUCCACACUAUAAGCCAUAGCUGAAGCUCAGUUUGUCUGGUUUUUUUCCGUCGAGAAAUAAUUGGAAAUGGGGCACUAUACUAGCAUUCUUUUACCAUUUUUUUUUUUUAAACAAAUAUUUAAGUCUUUCUACGCUAUUAAGCUAUGAACGUGACUAAUACACUUUUGCUAUUACUUAAAGUGAAA